rnacentral:rRNA from 1 species
UGAGGAACAUGACCUUCGGCGGGGGAUAGCCGGCCCAACGGCCGGGUAAUACCGCGUACGACCACAUGGGGACAUCCCUGAGUGGUGAAAGCAGCAAUGCGCCGAUGGAGUGCCUCGCGGCCUAUCAGCUAGUUGGCGAGGUAACGGCUCACCAAGGCAACGGACGGGUAGCUGGUCUGGAGAGGAUGGCCAGCCACAGUUGGGACUGAGACUACCGGGCCCAGACCUGUACGGGGAGG